AAAUCCUUAAAACCAGCCAUCUUACGUUGCUCUCUCUCUUACGCCUUUUUCGACUCUUUUGCCUUUGCCUCUUCUUCCUAACUCUUUUAACUAGAAACUACGUCCAAGCGAUUCUUUUGUUUUCUUGGCGCCUUCCUUUCUUUCUUCCCUUUAUUCUAAGUCUACACCAGCAUCAGAGCAGGCCUCUUAUAGCUGCGAUUUCUUAAUCAUAUUUCCUUUUAAUCAAAGAAAAGAUAUCUUCGCUCACUACUUAAGCAAAUCAAGUCCAUUUUUAUUCGAUGACAACUAUUUUUAAUUAAGAACUAAUUCGAUCCAGUUUUCACGGCUCCGACAGUUUCUUUUUUAGCGGCUCUUUAUUCAUCUGUUCUCCAGUCAAACCUGCCGAUCGACCGAGACAGACCAAGAGCCUGCGGUUUUGUUUUUGUUUAUCAAGCUAUUUUUCCGGUCAAGUCAACCCCAGAGAAGGAAGAACGGUUCCUGCGUCCCCUUCACCAUCUGCUGAGAUCCACCCAGCUGGCCCAAACCGAACCAGAGGCGCUCAAAAGCAUCAGCAGGCAGGACGCCAAGACGUUGCCAUAGCGACAGACUUCACGGCCGGAGAAUCUGCCGACCCGUAAAGUCGGUCCAUUCAAGACGCCAUGCAGUCCCAGCCGGAACCUCUGAGCGACCCAUUCUCCAACAAAGAUGAAGAGGAUGAAACUGUGUCUGCUGCCUUUACAGAGGGGGAUCCAGAAAGGCAUACAGAGAGCAUGGCUGGACAGCAGCAGGAUGGUCCCUCAACGUCCACUGCACAGACUGACACAGUGAGAUGGAUGUUCAGGAAACACCAGAGGUUCAUUCUGUGGAAUUCAUGUGCAACUGUAUAAUUUAAUGCCCUCUAUGUAUUCCCAGUUAUCAGUAAAACAGAUUUACAAACUGCAUUUGCUGAGAAAAAUACAAAACAACAGAUUAGGAGGGCAGAUCUGGAAAUUGAAAUACUGGAGCACAAGUUAGAGGUGGGUACAUGGUCACAGGUGAAUUAUGUUAACUACUGGAACAUGAACUGAACUAUCUUUUAUUUGUAGGAAAUAAAGAAGACCAAAUGAAA